GACCCUGUGGCGCAAUGGAUAACGCGUCUGCAUACGGAGCAGGAGAUUUCAGGUUCGAGUCCUGCCGUGGACG
rfam:Angiostrongylus costaricensis strain Costa Rica genome assembly, scaffold: ACOC_scaffold0001781